rnacentral:siRNA from 1 species
UAUUACUAGUAAGGUCACCUGCGA